rnacentral:rRNA from 1 species
GACGAACGCUGGCGGCGUGCUUAACACAUGCAAGUCGAACGGAAAGGCCUCUUUCGGGGGGUACUCGAGUGGCGAACGGGUGAGUAACACGUGAGUAACCUGCCCUUGACUUUGGGAUAACUUCAGGAAACUUGGGCUAAUACCGGAUAGGAGCUCCUGCUGCAUGGUGGGGGUUGGAAAGUUUCGGCGGUUGGGGAUGGACUCGCGGCUUAUUAGCUUGUUGGUGGGGUAGUGGCUUACCAAGGCUUUGACGGGUAGCCGGCCUGAGAGGGUGACCGGCCACAUUGGGACUGAGAUACGGCCCAGACUCCUACGGGAGGCAGCAGUGGGGAAUAUUGCACAAUGGGUGGAAGCCUGAUGCAGCAACGCCGUGUGCGGGAUGACGGCCUUCGGGUUGUAAACCGCUUUCGCUCAUGACGAAGCUUUGUGUGACGGUAGUGGGUAAAGAAGCACCGGCUAACUACGUG